rnacentral:rRNA from 1 species
CGCGCAGGCGGUUCUUUAAGUCUGAUGUGAAAGCCCACGGCUCAACCGUGGAGGGUCAUUGGAAACUGGAGAACUUGAGUACAGAAGAGGAAAGCGGAAUUCCACGUGUAGCGGUGAAAUGCGUAGAGAUGUGGAGGAACACCAGUGGCGAAGGCGGCUUUCUGGUCUGUAACUGACGCUCAUAUGCGAAAGCGUGGGGAUCAAACAGGAUUAGAUACCCUGGUA